GAAGCUGCACCCUUGGUAGAGGGAACAUCUGACGAAGUUCAAUGUUUGGGGAAAGCAAUAUCUGGAAAGAUUGAACAGUCAGCAGGAGAAACACCUAGGAAAAUUACAAGGCCUGUGAACGAAACAUCUGAGAAAUUUGCAUGGCCACGAGAAAGACCUACAAAGACCACAUGGAAGGAAAAAGAAACAUCUGUAAAGACUGAAUGAGUGGCAGGAGUAACAUCUAAUAAAAUUGAAGUUUUGGAAGAAGGAACAUCUAAGAUGAUCACAUGUCCUAUAAAAAAAACAGCUACAAAAGCAAGUACAAAUGAUUCAACUAGCCUAUCAAAAAUCUUGGAUGCAGUUCUUUCUUGUGAAAGAGCAAGGGAACUUAAAAAAUGUGAACAACUUACAGCAAAAAUGAAACAAAUGAAAAAUAAGCUUCGUGUACUACAAAAGGAACUAACAGAAGCAAAAGAAAUAAAAUCAAUUGACUUUAAACCAAGAAGAAGAGAAGAGAAGAAAUGCCAAUAUAUUAAAUGAAAAAAUUAGGGAAGAAUUAGGAAAAAUCGAAGAGCAACAAAAGAAAAAGUUAGAAGUGAAGCAACUUGAACUCACUCUCCGAAUAUACAAAAUAUGGAAUUGAAGACUGUAAGAAGUAAUUUGAAUCAG
rnacentral:lncRNA from 1 species